GGUCCCAGUAGAGUUUUCUGUAUCACAUGAUUAAUCCAAUUUCAUUCUGUCUGACCCCUUACCAGGCAAGUCUAAGAUAGAAGAUGCUUCCGGUUGUAUCUCGGAUUUACCAUGCAAAUCUUUAGUACUGUGCUGAAGUUGGCCAGUCGUUACUUUAAAUAAGAAAUGUGAUUCAACACAAGUUGAGCUCCCUAAAAGGUCAUCUGCUUUAGAAGCAUGACCAUUAAAAACUAAAUCUUCAGGAUUAAUGCUGUCACAAGCAGUAGC
rnacentral:lncRNA from 1 species